GUACUUACCUGGCAGGGGAGAUACCAUGAUCGCGAAGGUGGUUUUCCCAGGGCGGGGCUUAUCCAUUGCACUCCGGAUGUGCUGACUACUGCGAUUUCCCAAAUGUGGGAAACUUGACUGCAUAAUCUGUGGUAGUGGAGGACUCCGUUCGUGCUUUCUCCUG
rnacentral:snRNA from 1 species